ensembl:lncRNA
UUUUUUUUCAGUCCAUGAGGGGGUGUCCCUGGAAAAGAAGUUGCUGGUAGUUAAGUUGCACCUGAGAAGAAAUCUGAAUAUGUGAUGAAAAGCAGCUUUGGAGGUAUAAAAAAGUGUUUCUUCAUGAAAGACCACCAAUAUCACCUGCUGUAAAGCUGGAGGAAGACAGGGGAAGUCUGUUUUCACUAUGCACGCCGUAUGAAGAACAUCUGAGUGCAGACCUGGAAUUUGUUACACAAAAGACAAUUAAUCCAGAUAACUUUGCAUUUGAAUUAAUUUUGUAUACGGAAAGAUUGGGACUUAGAGUAGCAAGUUUUGUUCAUCUCUUACCACGCACUGCCAAAAUACCAUGCAACUACGUGACUGUAGGGCACCAUAUGAACCAGGUCUUUCUUUUUCCCCCCCAAGGAGAAACGGAGAUGUUUGCAGAUAAAACAAGGUAACAUUGUAGCACUCCUUAGUAGUUACAGUUCAUUAACAUGAGAAUAACCGCUCUUAGGCAAGCAACAGGUGCGAGCAAUGUGCCUGAGUGACUGGAGGGGUGGAGCCAGGAUCCGACCCUUCUCAGACCUCAUUUAAGGGCUGGCAAGGGAGGCAAAAGGUUUCUUACUGAAGAUCCUUGUGUACCUGAAGCCUUUUGAAGGUAAGCAGAUUCUUUCUUUUGUUUCUGUACUUAUAGCUGUUGUAUUUUGGC